AUACAAUGAUACCAUAGUAAAGAUUGAAACUGUUCUUUAUUGCGUUUUCCUACUUUUUUGGGGGGUGAAGGCCACAGGCGCCUCAGCCUCGGACAGUAACGCGAGGUGCUGGGUCUCCUGGUGAGCACGUGCUGUGGCAGGCCGGCAGCCAUGGGAUAGAACGACCACAUACCGCCAUGGAGGCUAAAGUCUGAGCGUCUUUCCAGAUGCACAGCGUGGGACUUUGUGUCUACAUGCGGCAGGCUGGCUGAUGUAAGUGGAGCAGCUGGCCUGCGCUGUGGCAGCCGCAUGUGAACAGAGACCAGUCUGGUGGAAUCCUGACAUGGUGGAGGACAAGUUCCUGUCUCUGUCCACCCAGUUGGACCAGACAGGCCUGCUGAUGGUUGACUGUACGCUGCCGUGGAGCAACCGGUCUCAUUUGUGUCCCAAGGAAAUGUAUGUUUUGUUGUGAUCAGUUCAUCAAUUCUGCAUAAUCGAUCUGGAUGUUUGUCUUAAAUGACCAUGUUUCAAUAAAAAUUCUUACUUUUAAAAAAAAGGAUGAUUGACAAAUCUCUGUUGUAAAAGUUAUGAGAAGUCAUUAAAUAAGUGGAGCGUUUGGCCUGCGGCACAAUCUGAUAACAGACCCGCCUGGUAAGUGUGACAGCCUUCCUGGGAGCCCUUAUUAGAAAUGUAGAUACUGUAAACCCAAUAGUAUACUGCCAUGGCAGAGAUACCCUUUCUUUGCUGUGGAAUCUUUAAUUGGGAGAGAAACCUCAGGACUUUGGCCAAGGUUCAUGUAAAACUAAUUUACUAUGACAUGACUUAAGACCUGACACACUUCAGUGGCGCUAAACUUAGUUGUUUCUGGCUGCUGGUGCAACCGGUCUCAU
ensembl:lncRNA